rnacentral:rRNA from 1 species
UGGGGAAUAUUGCACAAUGGGCGCAAGCCUGAUGCAGCGACGCCGCGUGAGGGAUGACGGCCUUCGGGUUGUAAACCUCUUUCGGCAGGGACGAAGCGCAAGUGACGGUACCUGCAGAAGAAGCACCGGCCAACUACGUGCCAGCAGCCGCGGUAAUACGUAGGGUGCGAGCGUUGUCCGGAAUUACUGGGCGUAAAGAGCUCGUAGGCGGUUUGUCGCGUCGUCUGUGAAAUUCUGCAACUCAAUUGCAGGCGUGCAGGCGAUACGGGCAGACUUGAGUACUACAGGGGAGACUGGAAUUCCUGGUGUAGCGGUGAAAUGCGCAGAUAUCAGGAGGAACACCGGUGGCGAAGGCGGGUCUCUGGGUAGUAACUGACGCUGAGGAGCGAAAGCGUGGGGAGCGAACA